rnacentral:rRNA from 1 species
UACGUAGGUGGCAAGCGUUGUCCGGAAUUAUUGGGCGUAAAGCGCGCGCAGGCGGUCUUUUAAGUCUGAUGUGAAAGCCCACGGCUCAACCGUGGAGGGUCAUUGGAAACUGGGAGACUUGAGUGCAGAAGAGAAGAGUGGAAUUCCACGUGUAGCGGUGAAAUGCGUAGAGAUGUGGAGGAACACCAGUGGCGAAGGCGGCUUUCUGGUCUGUAACUGACGCUGAGGCGCGAAAGCGUGGGGAGCAAACAGG